rnacentral:Y_RNA from 1 species
GGCUGGUCCGAUGGUAGUGGGUUAUCAGAACUUAUUAACAUUAGUGUCACUAAAGUUGGUAUAUAACCCCCCACUGCUAAAUUUGACUGGCUUUUA